GUCAUUGUCAUAUAAGUUUGCGGGGGUCUGCCAUGGUGGAGUUAAUUCAAAUGCAUGUGUUCAUCUUCUUGAUUUUACUCAGUUUCAAUUCGUUUCGUGUGUCAGGAAACGUAGGAAACAUUUGGGGAUAUCAAGAUGGCGUACCCCCGCAAAGUUGGCCAAGAUUGUACCCAGAAUGUUCCGGGAGAAAACAAUCACCUAUAAACAUUGAUACAAGACAAGUUGUUCUCGAUACCAAACUCGAACCGUUUGAUUUCAGUAACAUCAACACUAUACACGACUCAAG